rnacentral:tRNA from 1 species
ACCGUGAAGCUCAGUUGGUAGAGCGUCGAUCUAGUAAUUCGAAGGUCGCGGGUUCAACUUUAUCUUUCUGCUUACGCUG